rnacentral:rRNA from 1 species
AGCAGCCGCGGUAAUUCCAGCUCCAAUAGCGUAUAUUAAAGUUGUUGCAGUUAAAAAGCUCGUAGUUGAAUUUCGGGGUUAGUAGGUUGGUCAUGCCUCUGGUAUGUACUGGUCUCACUGAUUCCUCCUUCCUGAUGAACCUUAAUGCCAUUAAUUUGGUGUUUUGGGGAAUUUGGACUGUUACUUUGAAAAAAUUAGAGUGUUUAAAGCAAGCUAACGCUUGAAUACAUUAGCAUGGAAUAAUGAAAUAGGACGUUCGAUCCUAUUUUGUUGGUUUCUAGGAUUGACGUAAUGAUUAAUAGGGAUAGUUGGGGGCAUUAGUAUUCAAUUGUCAGAGGUGAAAUUCUUGGAUUCAUUGAAGACUAACUACUGCGAAAGCAUUUGCCAAGGAUGUUUUCAUUAAUCAAGAACGAAGGUUAGGGGAUCGAAGACGAUCAGAUACCGUCGUAGUCUUAACCAUAAACUAUGCCGACUAGGGAUCGGAUGAUGUUAAUUUUUAAUGACUCAUUCGGCGCCUUAC